CAGUCGCCACGGUAAUACGGAGGGGGCUAGCGUUGUUCGGAAUUACUGGGCGUAAAGCGCACGUAGGCGGCUUGGUAAGUUAGAGGUGAAAGCCUGGAGCUCAACUCCAGAAUUGCCUUUAAGACUGCCGAGCUAGCAGGUGAGAGAGGUAAGUGGAAUUCCGAGUGUAGAGGUGAAAUUCGUAGAUGUUCGGAAGAACACCAGUGGCGAAGGCGGCUUACUGGCUCAUACUGGACGCUGAGGUGCGAAAGCGUGGGGAGCAAACAGGAUUAGAUACCCCAGUAGUCCCUGUCUCUUAUAC
rnacentral:rRNA from 1 species